GGUACAUUUACCUCCCUUGAAUUCACAGUACUGAAACCAGUACUUGUUUCCAUCCAUAGUUAGAAGUAAAAUCCACUGUUAAUUGAUAACAAUUUGAGUUUAAUUGGAUCACAAGUUGACAGUGUAAACAAAGUUAUAUUUUGCCAGUCAGCUUAUGUGUGCAAUCUGACCAAUGUAAACCGGCUCGAAAUAUAUGAAGGUCUGUUCUGGUAAUAAAUAAUUUAACAUUUGUGGUGAAUAUCAGAAAUUGCUGCUCAAAUUAACUCCAAAGAUAUGAUAACAGAUAUCAUUGUUACAUUAAAAUUGUUUUUAAAAUAAACUUUAAAGUUAUGUUGAAAAAAUUUACCUACAUAAUGUAUAUUUGUAUUUAUAGGUGAACAAAGAUGAUCUGAACAUGUAAAUUCCAAGUUUGUUAGAGGCUCUUCUCAUCUGUUUUAGUGAUGACAGCUGGCCAGUUAGAGAUGGUUAUCUAUACCAGCAUUGUAUCCACUGUUUUUCAACAAUCAACAAGAUAAUAAACCAUCAGUGCGGGGGCAGCCCUUGCUCUCCCCAGAGCAUAAGAUCCAAUAAACGUUCAAGGAUCUGAGCUGAAGAAGUUUGCGGAGGAGGUGUUUUAUCAUGUGCCC